CAAGAAGUAGUUUAAUUUAAAAUAUUAAUUUUGGAGAUUAAUGAUAAAGGAACUCUUUUUUCUUGA
rnacentral:tRNA from 1 species